AUACGGAGGGUGCAAGCGUUGAUCGGAAUUACUGGGCGUGAAGCGUACGUAGGCGGUUUAUCAAGUCAGAUGUGAAAGCCCCGGGCUUAACCUGGGAACUGCAUUUGAAACUAGUAGACUUGAGUAUGGUAGAGGGGGGUAGAAUUCCUAGUGUAGCGGUGAAAUGCGUAGAUAUUAGGAGGAAUACCAGUGGCGAAGGCGGCCCCCUGGACCAAUACUGACGCUGAGGUACGAAAGCGUGGGGAGCGAACAGGAUUAGAAACCCCAGUAGUCC
rnacentral:rRNA from 1 species